GGGAAGGUGGCUCAGUGGUAGAGUGCUUGCCUAGCAUGCAUGAAGCCCUGGGUUCAAUUCCUCAGUGCCA
rnacentral:tRNA from 1 species